rnacentral:lncRNA from 1 species
GCUAACUAUGAUCUUUUAGCGUUAUUCUUAUAGCCGGUAAAUUUGAUUAAAAUGCCACAAAAAGUCGGUAGUUUUAACAAUAAUUAUUUAUAGUAAUUGAAAUGGCUACAAUAUAUGUUGUGAAAACAUCUUAAUUGAUCCCAUUAGUGACCAUUUUUAUGGCAAGAAAAUUCAAUUAAAUUGUCGCUAAAAUUCACAAGCUUUAACGAUAAUUGUUUAGCUGUCGUUAACAAUGCUACUACGUUCGUCCAGAAAAUAUUACUAGUAAAAGUAACUUACUAAAUCUAAAACAAACAAAAGAAAAGAGUAAACCAAAAUAAUAACGUCACAACUUAAAAGCAAAACUUAUAUUGUUCGUACUAAUAUAACAAAUCCUAUCAAUAAUGACUUCAAAUAAUUUCCGCAACUCUUCAUCAUAUUGAAAUCUUUCACAUGCGAAAUUUUCGAACAUCAAAACAUAUGACCUGAAAUAAUAAAAUAAAUGCAUCAAAAUAUAAAAUUUCAUGUAUAUAAACAUCGCAAGUAGUGUGAAUAAUCUGAUAUUACAAGCAAGAAACAUUCAGUAACAAGGAAACUUAUUCUUUCAUAUGGUCUAAUGAGCCUAGGAUUACAAUUUCUAUCAUGAAGCUAACUAUUCUUGCAAAAGAGGUGGUGAAGUUCCCAAGUAAGAGUUCUAAUAUAUUGUAAAAUUGUCUAAGAUUAAUUAAUCAGUAUCGUGAAUGAUAUUAGAUUUUCUUUAACUUAUUAUAUUAUAGUUACCGGUGAUUAACCUUAGAAAAUUCGUACAAAUAAAUAGAAGUGACAAGUAUUCAGAACUAAGGCAGACUCAUAAUCUUGUAGAAUUAAACAAGUGAAUAUUACGGGUUAAGAAGAAUAUUCGCAAAAUAUGGCACACGAAACAAAGGAAUAUCUAAAAAUAAUUAAGAGAUGUACUCAACUAAUAACUGCAUGCCAGCACAACUUUAAUUGUCAAACUUAAUGAAUGACACAUCUUUUAUGAUCUAAACUAUGCACACAAAGAUAAAUACCCGAUCUCUUUUAUGUUUGAAUUGGAGAAUAUACAUAUAUAACUCAUUAAGCGCCAAGAUUCAGCAUUACAGAGGACAAAAAAUAAUCAAAUAAAAGUAAAACCAAACUAGACAUUCAUAUCUUCACUAUUUUAAAGGGUAGACAGAAUUCUGGCCUAAAAAGUAAUAGGCAUGAACAUGGACAGUCCAGUGCAAUAAUUUCUUAUUAUACGUGGGAUCUGGAGAAGGGCCAGACCACAAAAGCUUAUUGUACGCAGCCUUAUUUUGCAUUUCUAUAAAAAAUUAUUUCCACGAAAGUAACUUUACCAGUUACUGUAAGGCUCCUUAAAAUGUAAUAGGUAAAGAAACAUAAAUCAUAAGCACAUAAUCUAAGAUACAAAAAAUAAAUUUUAGAAGUCGAUAAUAAAAUAAAUUACAGAAGUUAACUGCCUCUACAAUAAGCUCUAUAUAAUGAAAAACACCGAGGUUAAUUAUGUAUAAAAUUCAAGUUGGGAUAGGUCAUAGCUUUUGAUUAUUUUGACACACUUUAGUUUUUUCAUUUCAUGACUAGAAGGGGCCAUUAAUAGUUUAGGCAUUAAAACAAUCAAUAGUUAAAAUACUACAAUUAAACCAUAACGGUAUAUAUGUUCAAUGAAAAUAAUUAAUACUGCUCAAUUAUAUUUUCUUACUUCCUAUUGACUAUAAAAUAAAUAUUUAGCUAAUAGUGUGUAAUGUUAGGCAUAAUAAUGAAAAGUUUAAUGUUUAUACACUAAUAUUGUAAACUUCCUUUUAAUGUUAUCAUAUCAUAUAAAUGUAAUUAAAAUUAAUUGUUUCUACUAAGUAAAACAAAUAACUUAAAUAAAGUAAGUAAUUAUUAACAGACAAGAAGAACCCUUAUUUUAGCCCUUUCAGCAGAAUAAAAAAUUGAAAGGAUUUAAAAGACAAGAAGAAGGUAAAUUUGGCAGAGACGAUGGGAAAAUUACCGUAUCUCUGUAAGGUCAUUUAAUUUUGUGUAAAUACUCUUAUCAAAAUUUAAUUUUUUGUUCCACAUCAAAGAUUCCAUUCUCUGUAUCUGCACCCCCACCUCACCAAAAAGUUCCAUCUCCAUCAUUGUAAUCUUCACACUAAGAUAUGGAAUUAAGCAUUUAUCAGUUAGAUCUUAUGCUAUAUGACAAAAAUUGUUAAUCCUUACCAACAAUGAUUCAGAUCGAAGAGGCAAUUUACAAGUAAAAUAGAACUAGUAAUUUAAUUACUUAGUCAAUGAUAAUUGGAGUCAAAGUAGACUAAUUAACAAUAUGAUGGCAAUCUAGUUAAGACAAAGAACAAAAAUAAUUUGUUCAAUGAACACUCUACGAAACAAGAAAAAAAAAUCAAAAAUUUCUUCCCCACAAGUUUCAAUUACAACCAAAAUGUGAAGAGACAAAGAGAACAAAGAGAUUACUUGGUAAUUGUUCGAGAGAUGACCUGGGGGCCGACGACUAUGAGAGAGAUGAGUCACGAAACCCUAGGUUCUGUGGCUUACUAUGGUAAAGAGAACCCUUAUGCAAAUUGGGCGUAAUUUUAUUUGUGCGAUAGUGGGAGGGAAUAUUUUACAGGGUGAAAAAUAUUGGAGGGAGGACAAAAAAUCUAUAAAAGUUAGCAUUUGUUAUAAAUAGACUUCUAUUUAAGGUGAAUGUCUAUAAUUAGAAAGAUUCUAGAGUUUUAUUCUUGGUAGCUAAGUCACUACCUCCCUAUAAAUAAAGGGGUCUUCUACCAUUGUAAAUCAUCC